rnacentral:rRNA from 1 species
AUUGAACGCUGGCGGCAGGCCUAACACAUGCAAGUCGAGCGGAUGAAGGUAGCUUACUACCUGAUUCAGCGGCGGACGGGUGAGUAAUGCCUAGGAAUCUGCCUGGUAGUGGGGGACAACGUUUCGAAAGGAACGCUAAUACCGCAUACGUCCUACGGGAGAAAGUGGGGGAUCUUCGGACCUCACGCUAUCAGAUGAGCCUAGGUACGAUUAGCUAGUUGGUGAGGUAAAGGCUCACCAAGGCGACGAUCGUUAACUGGUCUGAGAGGAUGAUCAGUCACACUGGAACUGAGACACGGUCCAGACUCCUACGGGAGGCAGCAGUGGGGAAUAUUGGACAAUGGGCGAAAGCCUGAUCCAGCCAUGCCGCGUGUGUGAAGAAGGUCUUCGGAUUGUAAAGCACUUUAAGUUGGGAGGAAGGGCAGUAAGUUAAUACCUUGCUGUUUUGACGUUACCGACAGAAUAAGCACCGGCUAACUUCGUGCCAGCAGCCG